rnacentral:piRNA from 1 species
UAGGUACAACCUCGAUCCCUCCACACUGU